AAAUUUGAAUGCUCCGUUGUGGAAACACUGGUUUGAUUCAGUCUAUAUCCAGAGGUCUAUAUCUAUGUUCAGUGAACUGUAAUCACUGGUUUGAUUGUACCUUUCUCUCCUGGUUUUCCUUUGUUCACUAUUUGCACUGGUUAUUUUUUUCAUUUGUCAUCUUUUUAUCUUCAACUUUAGGUAUGUGUGAUCGUGUUUUGAUAUGUUUUUGUUAAAAAUAGUGUUGAACCGGGGAUUGUAUAUGCAAAUGACGUAUUUAUGUAAAUAUUAACUCUAUAACAAUUGUGUGUCGAUAAGUAAUUAUUGAUUGAUCAACGAGACGAGACAACUAGCUUUCUUGCAAAUCAUAUCGGUUGAUGCUUGACAACCUGCCGGAACUACCAACGUGCUUUUUGUUUUGUCUCGUUGAUCAGGGGCGCCGGAAAG